AUGAAUACAGAAAAUCCAAAGCUGGCAUCAAUAAAAAUCAGGAGUCACUUUGAAUAUUUAAUUACAGUGUGCAACCUAAGCACUCCAUAUGGUAUUCCAUCCAUCAUCAGAGAAUCAAUUUACAUAAACGAAACCAAGUGCAUGUUAAAGGGAAGGAGGGCCAAAACCUCCAGAGAGAAAAAUUGAGAGGGACAAGCAAGAUGAUACCUCAAAGAAUUGGUUCAAGGUCAUAAUUCCCUUUGGCAUAAAAUAUGAAGAGAAGUGGCUGUUGAAUUUGAUUCAGAACCAGUGAAGUAUUCCUUUCACUC
rnacentral:lncRNA from 1 species